rnacentral:lncRNA from 1 species
AAAUGAAUAAGUAACUAAGUAACAGAGAUGAGGAAAUGUACCUGUUCCAGCGAAUAUCUCCUUGAUAGCAGUAGAAAUAGUCAGCCACUACUCUAUAUUUGACUCCCAAAAUUCCGAUGAGAACCAGCAGAUCUCACGCAGUGAUUUCGGGUUCUUCAGCAAAUGUAUUUGACUACACAGAUCCAAAUACAGUACACAACUCCAGUCAUUUCCUUUUCCCGACAGAAAUUAAUCAAAUAAGUAUGGAAUUAAAAACAAAUGAAGUUCCAUAGCAAUAGAACAACAACGAGAAACUGUGUAAUGACAACGCAAAUCAACAGACAACGAGUGGCAAUUCCACAGCUCCAAAACAGCUUUUUAUAUAUGAAAUUUUCUAGACAGCAGUAGUAAGACUUUAAAAUAGCCAAAUAAAGGCCGAAAAUAACUUCAAAUGGGUGUUCAGCUACUAAUUGCAGGAGAUACAACCACAAACAGCUCCGACUUCUAUUUGUAAGGAAGAUCAACAGCAAUAGCAACUAGAGCAUAAAUCCACAGCUCUGAACCAGAUAACCCAGCAGAUUCGACAACUUCAACAGUAAUGAGACUUCAACAAGUACAAAAUAUCGACGAGCAGAAACUCGAACCCCGACGACAUAAUAGACUUUGGACUCGACCUUUUCGAAUUCCUUUUUAAAUUCAGCUGAAGGAAACAACCAUUUACCGAUUUUUGGUGACUGUUUGGGGUUAAUUUUAUUGGUUGCUUUGAUUGGUUUUGGGGUGGAGACGAAGAAACAAGGGGGAUUAGGGUGCGUAAGGGUUGAAGAAGAUGAAGACGUGAGGGGGGGGGGUCUCUCUGGUUGUUGAUUUGUGAAUAAGAAGACGAACGUGAGGGUCUCUUUUUCAAAAAGCUGCGCUAAUUCUCUCAUCUCCCCUUUUAGUGUAUUAGGCGUUACCUAAUAUAGGUCUAGGUUUAAUGUGUAUUUUUUGUGUAUUUUGCCAAUUAGUCCCUAGGUAUUUUUGUGUCAAGUCCUUAGGGUCUUUUUAUUUAUUUUUUGUUCCAAAGAAGAGUCUAGAAGGGUCUCUAGGAUUAGCUUAAUGGGUAUUGGAUAUUGAGCUUAAGGAAUGGGCUAGAACUUGGGCCUUUAUGACUAGCUAUGUUUAAAAUUAGCUUAAUUAACUAAAAGUCUAUCCAUAUAGCAAUAUUAUCAAAAAUAUUAAUUAUCCCUACUUAAGUAAAAAUAAUUAUUAAAAUAAAGACUGACCUUUAAAACAAAACUAUUUUUUUCACGACCCCAAUCCCCGGUCGUGAUGGCGCCCAUCAUGAUGCUAGGCAAGCCCGACCAAUUUGUCACUCACAAUCCCUUAUGUAGAAUUCAUUACCAAUUAAUAGGAUUUAAUGCCAAAUUAACAUGAUUAUAACUCGGUAGUAAUAGAUAAACAGUACGUAAAAUCCAUAAAAUAUCAAUAUAAAUCCCCACCGAUCUGGUGUCACGAGCUGAGAGCCUCUAUUACUAGUCUGUGUAGCAACCUAUACAUAGAGUUGUCUAGAAUGCGGAAAACAAAGAGGAUAAGGGGAGAAAUCGGGUCUUGCGGACGCCAUGCAGCUACCUCGAUGACUCCAGAAUAAGCUGAACAACAGCAGAAAGCCCAAACUAUGCCUCCGGGAUACUUGUAUCUGCACACAUGGUGCAUGGAGUAAAGUGAGUACUCCAACUCAGUGAGUAAUAGCAAUAAGUAAUGACUGACGGAAAGAAAACUCGUAAAAACACUGCGCAGUUCUAUAUUUAAACGGUGAGAAUAUAAAAAACAGCAACUGAAUGAAGAAGUCAGUUAAAAGUCCUUUAAACCAGUAUUCAUUUCAUUUACUCAUCACGAUAACCGAAUUCAUAUUUGUACUGCUGCGACG